UGUUUAAUUUACUUAGGGGAACCUGUUUUAUAAUCGAUAAACCACGAAAAAUCUUACUUAUUUAAAAUUUUGUAUACCGUUAUUAUUAGAUAAUUUUAAAAAAACUAAAUAUUGAAAUUUAAAUUUAAAAUAUAUUAGAUCAAGGUGCAGACAAUAAAUAAGAAAAAAUGGGUUACAAUAAAUCUUGUUUAAUACGGAUAUUAUAAUUGAAAAAAUAAUUGAAGGAGGACUUGUUUGUAAUUUUGUUUUAAUAAGUCAAAAUGAAAUAAACACUUAAAACAU
rnacentral:rRNA from 1 species